GAUAAACGCUGGCGGCGUGCCUAAUACAUGCAAGUCGAGCGAACAGACGAGGAGCUUGCUCCUCUGAUGUUAGCGGCGGACGGGUGAGUAACACGUGGAUAACCUACCUAUAAGACUGGGAUAACUUCGGGAAACCGGAGCUAAUACCGGAUAACAUGUUGAACCGCAUGGUUCAACAGUGAAAGACGGUCUUGCUGUCACUUAUAGAUGGAUCCGCGCCGCAUUAGCUAGUUGGUAAGGUAACGGCUUACCAAGGCAACGAUGCGUAGCCGACCUGAGAGGGUGAUCGGCCACACUGGAACUGAGACACGGUCCAGAGUACUACGGGAGGCAGCAGUAGGGAAUCUUCCGCAAUGGGCGAAAGCCUGACGGAGCAACGCCGCGUGAGUGAAGAAGGUCUUCGGAUCGUAAAACUCUGUUAUUAGGGAAGAACAAAUGUGUAAGUAACUAUGCACGUCUUGACGGUACCUAAUCAGAAAGCCACGGCUAACUACGUG
rnacentral:rRNA from 1 species